CCUACGGGAGGCAGCAGUGAGGAAUAUUGGUCAAUGGACGAGAGUCUGAACCAGCCAAGUAGCGUGAAGGAUGACUGCCCUAUGGGUUGUAAACUUCUUUUAUAUGGGAAUAAAAUGUUCCACGUGUGGGAUUUUGUAUGUACCAUAUGAAUAAGGAUCGGCUAACUCCGUGCCAGCCGCCGCGGUAAUACGGAGGAUCCGAGCGUUAUCCGGAUUUAUUGGGUUUAAAGGGAGCGUAGGUGGAUUGUUAAGUCAGUUGUGAAAGUUUGCGGCUCAACCGUAAAAUUGCAGUUGAAACUGGCAGUCUUGAGUACAGUAGAGGUGGGCGGAAUUCGUGGUGUAGCGGUGAAAUGCUUAGAUAUCACGAAGAACUCCGAUUGCGAAGGCAGCUCACUGGACUGCAACUGACACUGAGGCUCGAAAGUGUGGGUAUCAAACAGGAUUAGAUACCCGUGUAGUC
rnacentral:rRNA from 1 species